rnacentral:rRNA from 1 species
GAUGAACGCUGGCGGCGUGCCUAAUACAUGCAAGUCGAGCGAACAGAUGAGGAGCUUGGUCCUCUGACGUUAGCGGCGGACGGGUGAGUAACACGUGGAUAACCUACCUAUAAGACUGGGAUAACUUCGGGAAACCGGAGCUAAUACCGGAUAAUAUAUUGAACCGCAUGGUUCAAUAGUGAAAGACGGUUUUGCUGUCACUUAUAGAUGGAUCCGCGCCGCAUUAGCUAGUUGGUAAGGUAACGGCUUACCAAGGCAACGAUGCGUAGCCGACCUGAGAGGGUGAUCGGCCACACUGGAACUGAGACACGGUCCAGACUCCUACGGGAGGCAGCAGUAGGGAAUCUUCCGCAAUGGGCGAAAGCUUGACGGAGCAACGCCGCGUGAGUGAUGAAGGUCUUCGGAUCGUAAAACUCUGUUAUUAGGGAAGAACAAAUGUGUAAGUAACUAUGCACGUCUUGACGGUACCUAAUCAGAAAGCCACGGCUAACUACGUG